AAUACAUAGCUCAGCGAGGCGAACCGGGGGAACUGAAACAUCUAAGUACCCCGAGGAAGAGAAAUCAACCGAGAUUCCGAAAGUAGCGGCGAGCGAAAUUGGAUUAGCCCUUAAGCUUUUAAUGAGACAGGUGAAGGCUCUGGAAAGUGCCGCGAUACAGGGUGAUAGCCCCGUAACCGACAUCUCAUCAUCAGUGAAAUCGAGUAGGGCGGGACACGUGAUAUCCUGUCUGAAUAUGGGGGGACCAUCCUCCAAGGCUAAAUACUACUGACUGACCGAUAGUGAACCAGUACCGUGAGGGAAAGGCGAAAAGAACCCCUGUGAGGGGAGUGAAAUAGAACCUGAAACCGUGUACGUACAAGCAGUAGGAGCACCUUCGUGGUGUGACUGCGUACCUUUUGUAUAAUGGGUCAGCGACUUAUAUUCAGUGGCAAGGUUAACCGUUUAGGGGAGCCGUAGGGAAACCGAGUCUUAACUGGGCGUUCAGUCUCUGGAUAUAGACCCGAAACCAGGUGAUCUAGCCAUGGGCAGGUUGAAGGUUGAGUAACAUCAACUGGAGGACCGAACCGACUAAUGUUGAAAAAUUAGCGGAUGACUUGUGGCUAGGGGUGAAAGGCCAAUCAAACCUGGAGAUAGCUGGUUCUCCCCGAAAUCUAUUUAGGUAGAGCCUCGGAYGAAUACUACUGGGGGUAGAGCACUGUUAAGGCUAGGGGGUCAUCCCGACUUACCAACCCUUUGCAAACUCCGAAUACCAGUAAGUACUAUCCGGGAGACACACGGCGGGUGCUAACGUCCGUCGUGGAGAGGGAAACAACCCAGACCGCCAGCUAAGGUCCCAAAGUAUAGCUAAGUGGGAAACGAUGUGGGAAGGCUUAGACAGCUAGGAUGUUGGCUUAGAAGCAGCCAUCAUUUAAAGAAAGCGUAAUAGCUCACUAGUCGAGUCGGCCUGCGCGGAAGAUGUAACGGGGCUAAGCUAUACACCGAAGCUGCGGCAAUGUGUUUACACAUUGGGUAGGGGAGCGUUCUGUAAGCCGUUGAAGGUGGACUGUAAGGUYUGCUGGAGGUAUCAGAAGUGCGAAUGCUGACAUGAGUAACGAUAAAGGGGGUGAAAAACCUCCUCGCCGGAAGACCAAGGGUUCCUGUCCAACGUUAAUCGGGGCAGGGUAAGUCGACCCCUAAGGCGAGGCCGAAAGGCGUAGUCGAUGGGAAACGGGUUAAUAUUCCCGUACUUCUUACAAUUGCGAUGGGGGGACGGAGAAGGCUAGGUGGGCCUGGCGACGGUUGUCCAGGUUCAAGUGCGUAGGCUUAAGGUUUAGGUAAAUCCGGACCUUUUUAAGGCUGAGACACGAUGUCGAGCUACUACGGUAGUGAAGUCAUUGAUGCCAUGCUUCCAGGAAAAGCCUCUAAGCUUCAGAUUGUAAGGAAUCGUACCCCAAACCGACACAGGUGGUCGGGUAGAGAAUACCAAGGCGCUUGAGAGAACUCGGGUGAAGGAACUAGGCAAAAUGGUACCGUAACUUCGGGAGAAGGUACGCUCUUAGUGGUGAAGUCCCUUGCGGAUGGAGCUACCGAGAGUCGCAGAUACCAGGUGGCUGCAACUGUUUAUUAAAAACACAGCACUGUGCAAAAUCGCAAGAUGACGUAUACGGUGUGACGC
rnacentral:rRNA from 1 species